rnacentral:rRNA from 1 species
UACGAAGGGGGCUAGCGUUGCUCGGAUUCACUGGGCUUAAAGGGUGCGUAGGCGGCCAUGUAAGUAGGGUGUGAAAUCCCCCGGCUUAACCGGGGAACUGCGCCCUAAACUGUGUGGCUGGAGUGAGAUAGGGGUGUGUGGAACUUCCGGGUGGAGUGGUGAAAUGCGUAGAGAUCCGGAGGAACACCAAAGGCGAAGGCAGUGUCCUGGGGAGUACCUGACGCUCAGGUGCGAAAGCCAGGGGAGCGAACGGG